rfam:Ovis aries breed Texel chromosome 1, whole genome shotgun sequence.
UCCCUGGUGGCUCAGAGGUUAAAGCAUCUGCCUGGAAUGCUGGAGAUCCAGGUUUGAUCCCUGGGUAGGGAA